AGGGUUUGAUCAUGGCUCAGGAUAAACGCUGGCGGCAUGCCUAAUACAUGCAAGUCGAACGCUCUCGAAUCUUCGGAUUCAGAGAGAGUGGCGAACGGGUGAGUAACACGUAAGAAACCUGCCCAUAAGACGAGGAUAACCAUUGGAAACGAUGGCUAAUACUGGAUAGCAUAUUUAACCGCAUGGUUUUAUAUCUAAAGGUGCUUUCAAGCAUCGCUUAUGGAUGGUCUUGCGCAGCAUUAGCUAGUUGGUAGGGUAACGACCUACCAAGGCUUCGAUGCUUAGCUGGUCUGAGAGGAUGAACAGCCACACUGGGACUGAGACACGGCCCAGACUCCUACGGGAGGCAGCAGUAGGGAAUUUUCGGCAAUGGGCGCAAGCCUGACCGAGCAAUGCCGCGUGAAUGAUGAAGGCCUUCGGGUCGUAAAAUUCUGUUGACAAGGAAGAACACGUAGAAUAGGAAAUGAUUCUGCGCUGACGGUACUUGUCCAGAAAGCUCCGGCUAACUACGUGCCAGCAGCCGCGGUAAUAC
rnacentral:rRNA from 1 species